UACGUAGGGGGCUAGCGUUGUCCGGAUUUAUUGGGCGUAAAGAGCGUGUAGGCGGCCAGAUAGGUCUGCUGUGAAAACUCGAGGCUCAACCUCGAGAUGUCGGCGGAAACCAUUUGGCUAGAGUCCGGAAGAGGAGAGUGGAAUUCCUGGUGUAGCGGUGAAAUGCGCAGAUAUCAGGAAGAACACCCGUGGCUAAGGCGGCUCUCUAGUACGGUACUGACGCUGAGACGCGAAAGCGUGGGGAGCGAACAGG
rnacentral:rRNA from 1 species